GGGCCCUGGAAGACCACCAGGUUGAUAGGUCAGGUGUGUAAGCGUUGUGAGGCGUUGAGCUAACUGAUACUAAUUGCCCGUGAGGCUUGACCAU
rnacentral:rRNA from 1 species